CCUACGGGGGGCUGCAGUGGGGGAUAUUGCACAAUGGAGGAAACUCUGAUGCAGCAACGCCGCGUGAGGGAAGAAGGUCUUCGGAUUGUAAACCUCUGUCCUCAGGGACGAUAAUGACGGUACCUGAGGAGGAAGCUCCGGCUAACUACGUGCCAGCAGCCGCGGUAAUACGUAGGGAGCAAGCGUUGUCCGGAUUUACUGGGUGUAAAGGGUGCGUAGGCGGCCCUGCAAGUCAGGUGUGAAAACUAUGGGCUUAACUCAUAGAUUGCACUUGAAACUGUGGGGCUUGAGUGAAGUAGAGGCAGGGGGAAGUGCCGGGGUAGCGGUGAAAUGCGGAGGGGUCGGGGAGAACACGAGUGGCGAAGGCGGCCUGGUGGGAUUUAACGGACGCUGGGUCGCGAAGGCGUGGGUAGCAAACAGGAUUAGAUACCGGGGUAGUC
rnacentral:rRNA from 1 species